UACGGAGGGUGCGAGCGUUGUUCGGAUUUACUGGGCGUAAAGGGCUCGUAGGCGGCUUGAACAGUCAGUGGUGAAAUCCCGGGGCUUAACCCCGGAACUGCUGCUGAAACUAUUAAGCUAGAGAUGGUCAGAGGCAAGUGGAAUUCCUGGUGUAGAGGUGAAAUUCGUAGAUAUCAGGAGGAACACCGGCGGCGAAGGCGGCUUGCUGGGGCCAAUCUGACGCUGAGGAGCGAAAGCGUGGGUAGCAAACAGG
rnacentral:rRNA from 1 species